CAAGGAGGCGGGGAAGAGCCGGGAAGAGCUGCAGAAGGCGGGGUAAGGGGGCCCCGGCGGCGGGAGCGGUCCCGGGCGCGGUGCGGUGAGGCCGGGCCAACUCCGGGAGCCGCUGCUCCGCGGGGAACCUUCCCCUGCCCUCGCCCGGGACAACAGGGGCCCGCCCGGCCGCCAUGGACUCCGGCAGCGAGACCCACGAACUCAACGGGACGGCGGAGGGCGCGGAGUCGGCUGCCGAGGAGCAGAAGGUGGCAGUGGUACCAAAGGAACAGACCCAUCAACAUCAACCACUACGCCAACAAGAAGAGCGCGGCUGAGAGCAUGCUGGACAUCGCCCUGCUGAUGGCCAACGCCUCCCAGCUCAAAGCUGUCAUGGAGCAAGGGCCCUCCUUUUCCUUCUACGUCCCGCUGAUCAUUCUCAUCAGUCUGUCGCUCACCCUGCAAGUUAUGGUGGGAGUGCUCUUGAUAUUCCUUGUAAAAUAUGACCUUAACAACCCUGCAAAACAUGGAAAACUGAAUUUCCUCAACAACCUUGCAACUGGACUAGUAUUCAUUAUAGUAGUUGUGAAUAUUUUUAUCACUGCUUUUGGAGUGCAGAAACCAGUUGCUGAGCCAGCAUCAAGACAAUAAGGACCAGAGACCUGGAGCAUUCAUUUUAGAUGCCAUUUGCAGUUGAGCCAGCUACACUGGACACAGUGGGGAAAGAAAAAUAAUUUGAAGAAGCUGGACACACCAAGCAGCUUUCUCAAGCUUCCAACACACUUGUAUACCUGAAAUUUUCCCAUGUGUUAAUAUUUAAAUUGUUUGGCAUCUAAGAGAAGGUUAGCUUUGCCCCAAGGAUGCUGUUCUUCUGGAAUAUUGGCAUUUCAAUUUCUGAAGAAUUUUUUUUUCUUUUUUUUUUUCAGAGAAGUAACAUAAAUUCAUGAAACAAGGAAAUAUCAUCUGGUAGCAUUUCACAGGACUUUUUUUUUUACUUGUCUUUGUUUUUUGUGGCAAUUUGUCAUUUCAUGAUGGUAAGAAAUGUCAGGCCUUUGAUUCUGGCAUGGUCACAUUGUCCUUUAUUUCACAGCUUGGCACCAAGCCCUUGUACUCUGUAGCCCAGCAGGGCUCUGCCUUUGCAGUGUGUAAAGGUAGCUCUGCUUUUGCACAGCUUUUUGUUUUGCUUUUUUUUCCACUCUAGCUAAAGGAAAGAUGAGAUAAACAGAAACAAGCAGCAUUCUUUUGCUCAGUUUUGUUCACAGAGUUCUUGGUUGGAGGCAAAUAUCUCUUUUAAAAGAUGUCAUCAAUAAUGAAGCGAGAUGAAUUUUCCAGGGAGCAGUUCAUGCCAGGGUGGUGACAAAACAUUACCUGGCCUCCUACUGGAUACUAUGGGUUAUUUUGAAUUCACUUUUCUCCUCCUCCACAGUCUUUUGAAGGUCUGUUUUCAUGGUUCAUUUUAUCCCCUUGGGUUCUCAUAACGAGAACUAUUUACUAACCUGGCUGCCUUCCCAGGAAGAGUGCCACAGCUCCCAGUCAGGAACAGACUUAUCAAUAGCUCUUCAUCAGGCAAGUCAUGCUUUGACAGAAAUGGAGAUGUCAAAAACUCCUUUUUCAUUCAACCUCCUUCCUGGUGUUUUCCACUCCUCUUUUUCCAGUCUUCCAGCCUAGAAGUUGCCCUACCCCCUUUUUAAUGGUACAAGUUUUAACUAGUUGAGAGUUGAGUGUAAAUAUGGUACCAUGCUAGGAAGCACCACACCAGGAUUACUGAAACAUUGCAAAACAUUUUCACUGGUACCAAAAAUAUUUGAGAAUAAAUCCGUUUCAUCACCACCCAGUAUUACCACAGAUUUCUGGCAUGAAGGAUGAAAAUAAUCUAAACUCUUGGGAAGGCCUUAUGUUUCAGAUUUGAUUUGGACUUGUGGAAGGUAUGGAGGGAGACAGCUAUGUGUCUUUACCCUGAAAUAGGAGUUACUUUUUUCUGUGUCAGAAAACAUGAUUCACCAGGCAUGCCAGGGAGAGCAUCACUCAGGAAAGAAAUUAUUGUAUCCCCUCAGGCCUCCUCAUCCCUUUUUGAGUUUCAAAUCCUGGCAAUGUGACUUGGGAACAUGACUGAACUUCACAAACUGUGUGAAGUGCACUAACGGGGGAGCAUUGGGAGCACACCACAAUGCGCCUGUGUGGGUCACUGUUCUCCUUCGUGCUCCAUAAAAAUUCUUUCUUCUCCAUGCUAGUAGAAAAACAGGUUUGAAAGCCCCACAUUCCACAGCUGCACUGGUAGGACACCUCACAGCCUCUUGAAGGAACCCUGGUUAUCACACAGAAGUCCUGCAAAUCUUCAAACCUGAUGUCACUGAUAAUAUUUUGCUUAACUUGCAGAUACGGGGUGUGAUGGAAUGAUGUGUCUUGUUCAUCUUUCCAGAGUCAGGACCAGCCUAGACUCAUCCAGGGCUGAAUUUCAUCCAGCUCAGAAUGAGGAAUUUACUUCCUACUUGUUUUCUUAUUGACUCUGAGAUCACCAAGAUGAGUUUCACUUGUAUCUCACAGGACUCCUAACCUGGGAAUACCCUGAAAGAUAUCAUUGCAGUUCUUUCAUAGAAAACUGCUGUCUAAAUUAUUACUAUUAAUAGUAAUUAUUAUUUUCUGCUAUAGUUUUACCUGUUAUACCUGGACUGUGAAUUUGGUUCCAAUCUGAUGUAAGUUAUCUCUCCACCUCCUGGCAGAACAGAGUUCUUGCAGAGAAGAGCAAAGUAACCAUGUUAAAUGGGCUGCGAGCCAGCUCCAGAGGCACAGGUGAAACAAAAUCCAGCUCUAUGCAACCAUUAUGGAUCAGGAAUAUUUAAGAGGCACAGGCAUCACCUUUCCAGCCUUCACUAGGAGCUUUUAAAAUGAAUUAGCUCAGAGCCCACAAGAAAAACAACGUCAGCUCUCUCUGUUUCUGCUGCAGCGAAGCAUUCAGCAGGGAGCAGCCGGGAGGACCCAGCAGCCCUGCCUGACCCGACCGUCCCUGGAGCCGGCGUGGCCGGGCUGAGGCACCACCGGACAGCAUGGAGCAGCCUCGGGACAGCGCCCGCAGGGCUGGAGCACUAGGAGACCCCCAGGGUAGCUAAAACCAGAGCUAAAAAGGGGGAAAAAAAGCUACCUGACUGUGGUGAAAUAUUUUGCUGUGGAGAAGAUUUGCUGUAAAUCAUGCUGGGAGAACAUGUCUCACAUAGGAUUUAUCCAAGCUUCAUGCGCAGCGGCACUCUAGCCGCUGGCACCCAACUUCACCUGUUACCAGUUCACGAAGCAGAGAGUCUGAAGGGUUUAUGCUUUACUAGACACAAUGUUAUUAAAGAUUUAUCAACAGCA